GAUGAACGCUAGCGAUAGGCUUAACACAUGCAAGUCGAGGGGCAGCAUGGUCUUAGCUUGCUAAGACUGAUGGCGACCGGCGCACGGGUGCGUAACGCGUAUGCAACUUGCCUCACAGAGGGGGAUAACCCGUCGAAAGACGGACUAAUACCGCGUACACUCUAUUUUGGGCAUCCAAGGUAGAGGAAAUGAAAUUCGCUGUGAGAUAGGCAUGCGUCCCAUUAGAUAGUUGGUGAGGUAACGGCUCACCAAGGCGACGAUGGGUAGGGGAACUGAGAGGUCGAGAGGAGACACUGGGACUGAGACACGGACCAGACUACGACGGGAGGAAGCAGUGGGGAAGUUGGGACAAUGGGCGAAAGCCUGAUCCAGAAAUGCCGCGUGUGUGAAGAAGGCCUGCGGGUUGUAAAGCACUGUUGUCCGGAAAGAAAUGGCUCUGGUGAAUACCUGGGGUCGAUGACGGUACCGGAAGAAUAAGGACCGGCGAACUACGUG
rnacentral:rRNA from 1 species